rnacentral:tmRNA from 1 species
GCGCUUGAAACCCGCCGUCGGGCGCGCCAUAUUCAUCCUGUCUCGCAAGGGACUAUGGACAUAAACGCGCACGUAAUAAGCGGAUCGGACCCGGGGGCGGUACCCGGCGGCUCCACCAAUCAUCCGGCGUUGGCGGAUCAUGGGGCCGAAACAGGAUCGACGGACGUCUAAAGGUGUUUGCUUUGUCUCGGUGAGGUACCACCGUUAUCGGUCCGGAAAAGCAUAAUUGCCAACGACAAUCGUGCUCCGGUUGCUCUGGCCGCUUAAGCGGUUCGAGUGAUCGAAACUUAAGCCCUUGCGCCUAGCAGCGUAAGGCGGGGUUCGCAGGCACCUGGCAACAGAAGCCUGCACU